rnacentral:rRNA from 1 species
UACGUAGGGGGCAAGCGUUGUCCGGAUUUAUUGGGCGUAAAGAGCGUGUAGGCGGCUUGGUAGGUCCGCUGUGAAAACUCGAGGCUCAACCUCGAGAUGUCGGCGGAAACCACUUGGCUAGAGUCCGGAAGAGGAGAGUGGAAUUCCUGGUGUAGCGGUGAAAUGCGCAGAUAUCAGGAAGAACACCCGUGGCGAAGGCGGCUCUCUGGUACGUGACUGACGCUGAGACGCGAAAGCGUGGGGAGCGAACAGG